UGGGGAAUUUUGGACAAUGGGGGCAACCCUGAUCCAGCCAUGCCGCGUGAGUGAAGAAGGCCUUCGGGUUGUAAAGCUCUUUCGGUGGGAACGAAACGGUUACGACUAAUACUCGUGACUAAUGACGGUACUCACAGAAGAAGCACCGGCUAACUACGUGCCAGCAGCCGCGGUAAUACGUAGGGUGCGAGCGUUAAUCGGAAUUACUGGGCGUAAAGCGUGCGCAGGCGGCGCAUUAAGACAGGUGUGAAAUCCCCGGGCUUAACCUGGGAAUGGCGCUUGUGACUGAUGUGCUUUGAGUGCGGCAGAGGGAGGUGGAAUUCCACGUGUAGCAGUGAAAUGCGUAGAGAUGUGGAGGAACACCGAUGGCGAAGGCAGCCUCCUGGGCCAGCACUGACGCUCAUGCACGAAAGCGUGGGGAGCAAACAG
rnacentral:rRNA from 1 species